rnacentral:lncRNA from 1 species
UAAGACUUCCAUCGAGAAAAGCGUACCAGUUCCUCAUCUUGGCAACGAAGACAAUACUGAGCCAGAGAACUGCCCUUUCACAUGGGCGAGAUCACCCGAGAAUAUGAUUCGCCAAGAGACCUGUUUGGCUCUUGCUGUCGCAUUCAUUCUGUUGAGAUUGCUCUAUUUGGUUUAUCCUGCACUCGUUGUGUUGAUGAAGUACACUUGGAGACGGAUUGCUCAUAACUUGAGACAGGAAAGCCCGCCGGGUUUCUCAGCCGAGCUGUACAACUAUGCAUGCAUCUUAUAGAGCCUUGCAAGAGGAGAAAUCUGCAGGGAAGAGCCAGCCAUGAACGCUAGAGCAUUGGCCUCCUAGUCUUUGGCCACUGUCUCAAUUGGGGAUUCAAGCUCAUCAAACAGAGUAAGUUCAGCUAGUUCUCAGUGACUUCAAAAUUCUAGAAAGAUAGCAAAUGUGGUCAGCUAAAAUGCUUGGCUGUAGCAGCCAUAUGUUACACCUUUUUAGGAUACAGUUUUGCCUCUUUCCUGUAUAAUCCAUAGCUGAACAGUUUGUACCAAAAGUGUAUCGAUGGCAAUAUUAUAAAAGUCAAUUCAUGAUGUUUCUGUCAAUACUAUAUCAUAAUUGAAUGUUGCUUCUAACUUGUUUCCUCGAAACAGUUUCACAAAAUACAUGAAUCUCAGACUUGCCCCAAAUCUAUUUGGCAAUUAAUCAAGCUCUACAACUGAGGCAUCAGUCUUAACUUGUUUUCACAAAAUAAAUGAUUCAUUCACCCCAAUUAUAUUACUCUUAGUUUAACAGCCAUUUGCAUUUCUUUUCCUGUUAAAUUAAUUGAACACUAAAAUUCUCAAAACUGUUGAUACUACUUUAUAUCAAACUAGUAUUUUCUCCUGUGCUAUGCAGGGGCAUUUAUUUUUAUAACUCUAUACAUUUUUUUUUUGUAAUUUACAACGGAAUUUUUUUGUUGGGUUAUGAAAUUUACAGUGGAAAUAAAUAUUAUUUAUAGAGUUAUAUUUAUUGGUGAACUUAAAAACAAAAUUAAAUUUUAAAUAUUAAAACAGUCCAAUAUGGACACAAGAUGAACAUUAUAUAAUAGUUGCCAAAAAAAAGAACAUUAUAUAAUAAUUUACUUAUCAAAAAAAAAACAUUACAUAUCAAAUCGAGAAAAAGCAUAUAUUUUGUAAAUAAUUAACGUCAAUAUAUCUGUAUUUUUUUCUUUUAUAUUUAUUUUUGUUUUGUAGUACUGUUUUCUUAGUAUUUUAUUAGGUUUUCUUUUCUUAAACUAUACUUGCAUUAAGAACAUGGAAUCUUAGUUUCUAACAGAAAUUGCAAAUGAAAAGUGUAUCAACAAACUUCUGUGAGAUUAUAAACAGAUAAAACAAAGUAUAAAAAAAACAACCUGAUCAAGUGAGAUCUUGAUCUAGAGAGUAGGCAUAUUUUGUUCUCGUUUUCUCUACCAGCCUAUUUCUCGAGUCCAUUUGUUGUUUUUUAAUCAUCUCCACAUUUAACAUUUUUGUAAUUCUCCUUUUCUGAACUAUCGCUAUGAAAAUAGUUUUUUUUUUAAACUAUAGCUACGACAACCUACCAGGGAUAUGUAUGUAACAAAAAUCUUAUAUAAUAUUGAGCACUUUUUUAAAUAACGAAAAUGUUAUAUAAUAUUGUGCAAGUUUUUGUUAGGGAGAAUUUGAAUGAUAAUCACGGUGGAAGAAAAAAUAAGAAUAUAAUCAUGUAUCAAUAAGUGUGAUAAUUUGGUAUCAAAGUGGACCUAUCUUUUCCUCUCGGCGAGUGAUUAUUUGAAUGAACAUAUUGUGGUAUACUAUAUUUGGCAAAUAAAUAGUACAUAACAAUCAAGCCACAACAAUAACAUAUCACAACAAAGAAAAUUAAAAAUAAGAGAGAGAAUGCGAAGAAAAAUAAAAGCAAGACAUAAAAGAAGAAACAAUAAAUUGGUGUUUUGAAUAUAUUUGGCAAAUAAAUAGUACAUAACAAUCAAGCCACAACAAUAACAUAUCACAACGAAGAAAAUUAAAAAUAAGAGAGAGAAUGCGAAGAAAAAUAAAAGCAAGACAUAAAAGAAAUCCGACUUGUCCACUUUCUGACGAAUUACACGAGCGUCUUCAUUUUGUUGUCGUCACCGAGGCAAGAAAGUUUCCACAACAUUACGCGAUUGAUUGAAACAUUCCUUAUUAGUUGCGAAUCUUUGUUUCAUUGAGUAGGGUGAUGAGCGUUGGUUGCAAACAGCUUUGGAUAUGAUUCACAAAAACAAGUGUAACUAUGUGGCUUUGCUCUUCUAUGCAUCAUGGUGUCCUUUCUCAAUCUCCUUUAGACCAAGCUUCCAUGUCAUCUCUUCUCUCUACUCCUCAAUUCCUCACUUUGCAAUAAAGGAAUCAUCCGUUAAGCCAAGGUGGGUUAACACAAUGGCCUCCUCCUCAGUCUAGCUGUUUUUUUUUUAUUUUUCUGUUUUGAUUACUUGUUGGUGGUGUGCACUGUGCAGCACCCUCUCUAAGUAUGGAGUUCAUGGGUUUCCUACUCUCUUGCUUGUGAAUUCAACAAUGAGGGCACGGUACCGAGGAACUAGAAUGCUUGAUUCUCUUGUUGCUUUCUACACCGAUGUUACCGGUAAGAUGUUUUUAGUUGUCUACGAUUGUUUUGAACACAACUCAACCGGAGAAUUUCUGUGGGACUGUAGGCAUUGAGACGCUGGAUAAGACUUCCAUCGAGAAAAGCGUACCAGUUCCUCAUCUUGGCAACGAAGACAAUACUGAGCCAGAGAACUGCCCUUUCACAUGGGCGAGAUCACCCGAGAAUAUGAUUCGCCAAGAGACCUGUUUGGCUCUUGCUGUCGCAUUCAUUCUGUUGAGAUUGCUCUAUUUGGUUUAUCCUGCACUCGUUGUGUUGAUGAAGUACACUUGGAGACGGAUUGCUCAUAACUUGAGACAGGAAAGCCCG